rnacentral:misc_RNA from 1 species
GCAAACUUGGUCAUUUAGAGGAAGUAAAAGUCGUAACAAGGUCUCCGUUGGUGAACCAGCGGAGGGAUCAUUACUGAGUUACAACUCACAACCCUAUGUGAACUUUACCGAGUGUUGCUUCGGCUGAUGGUCUCGGGGUGAGACUUUAGCUUUUCAAGUCAUCAGCCGAAGGUUUUUAAUUCUAUAUUUUUUGGUUUUUCUGAAAACAUUUUAAAAGUUAAAACUUUCAGCAACGGAUCUCUUGGUUCUGGCAUCGAUGAAGAACGCAGC